GACGAGCCACACGAACGUUAUUCGGAAUUACUGGGCUUAAAGGGUGCGUAGGCGGUGCGGAAAGUUGGGUGUGAAAUCCCUCGGCUCAACCAAGGAAGUGCAUCCGAAACUGCUGAGCUUGAGUACUAAAGAGGAUCGCGGAAUUCCCGGUGUAGAGGUGAAAUUCGUAGAUAUCGGGAGGAACACCAGUGGCGAAGGCGGCGAUCUGGGUAGAUACUGACGCUGAGGUGCGAAAGCGUGGGGAGCAAACAGG
rnacentral:rRNA from 1 species